rnacentral:tRNA from 1 species
GCGGUGUUGCCGAGUGUAGUCCGGCCCAGCAUGGAGGACUCUCGAUCCUCCGACCCGGGUUCAAAUCCCGGCCGGAGCACCA